UACGUAGGUGGCAAGCGUUAUCCGGAUUUAUUGGGCGUAAAGGGAACGCAGGCGGUCUUUUAAGUCUGAUGUGAAAGCCUUCGGCUUAACCGGAGUAGUGCAUUGGAAACUGGGAGACUUGAGUGCAGAAGAGGAGAGUGGAACUCCAUGUGUAGCGGUGAAAUGCGUAGAUAUAUGGAAGAACACCAGUGGCGAAAGCGGCUCUCUGGUCUGUAACUGACGCUGAGGUU
rnacentral:rRNA from 1 species